CAUAAAUUAUAGGAAUAAUGAUAGAGAUGUGCUUCUAAUACAUAUUUCAUUACUGGAAUAAUAAAAAGAAAAGUAGAUUAUAAGGUGCUUUAACCAUCGUAAGCACUAACCGGAAGUCCCAGAAACAAUUGAAAGGGUGCGCAUCAAGUAUUUAUUUUGUUCUCUGAUUAAUCCACCCUGGUCGCGUUAGAGUGAAGCGCUACGCCUGCAGAGCCGCAUGGCGUUCUUAUUUUCUUCCUUUUUGGUGUGGUAUUGAAGCCUGUUUCCUGAGGGCCAAUCGAACACACAGAAGGCUGAGGUGGUCAGUCGAUCACGCAAGGGUGACGAGGGAAGCCUAAAUGAAGGGUGUGAUAAAAAGCCUAGUGUUGAAGCGUGGUGCCUUGGCCCUGUGUCACCUCCCCGCCUCCCCCUCGCCAGGACCACUGCAGACGAAGACUAAGGUGCUGAAGGUAACUACCACCUGACGCCAUUCUUCCACUCAUCACACCUGCGAUCUUAGAGUGCAGGGAAGGCUUCGUCUUAUCAGCGGCGCGAGCUCCUGAAGGUGGCAGGGGUCGAAGAGGCUGAAGAAGACGAGGAAGGAAAGAGGAGAAGAGAAGACACAAGAAGGAGGAGGAGGUGGAGGAGGGGGAGGAGGGGGAAGAAGAAGAAGAAGAAGUAGAAGAAGAAGAAGAGAACUUAUGUCUU